rnacentral:pre_miRNA from 1 species
AAAGUACUCCCUCCAUCCCAAAAUUCUUGUCUUAGAUUUCUCUAGAUACGGAUGUAUCAAGUCACAUUUUAGUAUUAGAUACAUCCGUAUCUAGAAAAAUCUGAGACAAGAAUUUUGGGACAGAGGGAGUAGUUG